GAGUUUGAUCGUGGCUCAAAUUGAACGCUGGCGGCAUGCCUUACACAUGCAAGUCGAACGGCAGCAUGAUCUAGCUUGCUAGAUUGAUGGCGAGUGGCGAACGGGUGAGUAAUACAUCGGAACGUGCCCUGUAGUGGGGGAUAACUAGUCGAAAGAUUAGCUAAUACCGCAUACGACCUGAGGGUGAAAGUGGGGGACCGCAAGGCCUCAUGCUAUAGGAGCGGCCGAUGUCUGAUUAGCUAGUUGGUGGGGUAAAGGCCCACCAAGGCGACGAUCAGUAGCUGGUCUGAGAGGACGAUCAGCCACACUGGGACUGAGACACGGCCCAGACUCCUACGGGAGGCAGCAGUGGGGAAUUUUGGACAAUGGGCGAAAGCCUGAUCCAGCAAUGCCGCGUGUGUGAAGAAGGCC
rnacentral:rRNA from 1 species